rnacentral:misc_RNA from 1 species
GAUGAAGAACGUAGUGAAAUGCGAUAAUUAAUGUGAAUUGCAGAAUUCAGUGAAUCAUCGAGUCUUUGAACGCACAUUGCGCCCCCUGGUAUUCCGGGGGGCAUGCCUGUCCGAGCGUCAUUGCUGCCCUCAAGCACGGCUUGUGUGUUGGGCUUCCGUCCCUGGCAACGGGGACGGGCCCAAAAGGCAGUGGCGGCACCAUGUCUGGUCCUCGAGCGUAUGGGGCUUUGUCACCCGCUCCCGUAGGUCCAGCUGGCAGCUAGCCUCGCAACCAAUCUUUUUAACCAGGUUGACCUCGGAUCAGGUAGGGAUACCCGCUGAACUUAAGCAUAUCAAUAACGGAGGA